UUCGGUCAAGUUGAACGGAUGACUUAGUGGCGGACGGGUGAGUAACGCGUGAGGAACCUGCCUUUCAGUGGGGGACAACAGUUGGAAACGACUGCUAAUACCGCAUAAGACCACGGUGUGGCAUCACACAGAGGUCAAAGGAGAAAUCCGCUGAAGGAUGGGCUCGCGUCCAAUUAGCUAGAUGGUGAGGUAACGGCCCACCAAGGCGACGAUCAGUAGCCGGACUGAGAGGUUGAACGGCCACAUUGGGACUGAGAUACGGCCCAGACUCC
rnacentral:rRNA from 1 species